rnacentral:rRNA from 1 species
AACGAACGCUGGCGGCAGGCUUAACACAUGCAAGUCGAACGCCCCGCAAGGGGAGUGGCAGACGGGUGAGUAACGCGUGGGAAUCUACCCAACUCUACGGAAUAACUCAGGGAAACUUGUGCUAAUACCGUAUACGCCCUUCGGGGGAAAGAUUUAUCGGAGUUGGAUGAGCCCGCGUUGGAUUAGCUAGUUGGUGGGGUAAAGGCCUACCAAGGCGACGAUCCAUAACUGGUCUGAGAGGAUGAUCAGCCACAUUGGGACUGAGACACGGCCCAAACUCCUACGGGAGGCAGCAGUGGGGAAUAUUGGACAAUGGGCGCAAGCCUGAUCCAGCCAUGCCGCGUGAGUGAUGAAGGCCCUAGGGUUGUAAAGCUCUUUCACCGGUGAAGAUAAUGACGGUAACCGGAGAAGAAGCCCCGGCUAACUUCGUGCCAGCAGCCGCCGUAAGAC